rnacentral:lncRNA from 1 species
GAAAAACGCGGGAAAAUCGUGUGCCAGACGAUUUCCACCCCGACAGUCGCUAACUGAUAAAACUUUGUAUAAUUUUAGUAAUUGAACGCAGGAUGAUUGGAGGAAGGGAGGCAGAAAAAGGAAAAUUUCCAUUUCUGGUAGCAAUAUUUAGAAAAGAAAGUUUUAAUGGUGCUUUUUUUUUCAUCACAACAAAUAAGUUUAUAGGAGCAGCACACGUUGUAGAAAAUUUUAAAAUUCAACACUAACCAGUACACUUGUUAAAGAUCUUCCUUGUGUUUUUUAUAAUACUCUGUAAAUGCAGAGGAGAAUGGAAAUAAAUCGGGUGGUCCUUUUCCUUAACUAAAAUUCAACAUGAAUAGCACGUUUAUUGGAACUUUCACAUUAAUUACAACAAGAACUGUGUUGAAAGCUGCUCACGUAACAAAUUCGUAAUUAAUACGUUACCCUGACAGAUUCAUGCUUCUGAACGUUUGGUUGGGAUGCAGAUAAGUUCUCGGGACAAACAAUACAAAAGAAGUAAACCGUUAAACCACACUUCCUGUCCAAGUUGAACAUCCUUUCUCUAAAAAUUUAGUCACCAAACUGAGAGUCAACCCUUCUGAAUUUCCCCACUCAUCCUGUUCAUGUGGAAAAAUACUACACUCUAAUUGGAAGAAAUCUGCGAAAAAUAGAAUUCUUUCUUAUUAUUCGGGGAAUGCACCAAAACUUCUCAAAGUAGAAGGACGUAUUCCUACGAGUCUCCCAACAGCCAACACCGAAAAUCUACGAAAGAUCCGUCAUCAUUUCUACAAGCUGCAAGCCGUUUUAUCAAGUGCCAUCCUAAAUUCCCAAGAAUGAAGUAAGAUACCAGAUCUUUUUUAUGUCUAAUAUUCACCCUUUUUCCUAUUCGACAUGCUUACGUUCCUCAUACACAAAAUUCCGUGGUUACGCGUGUUAAUCCGCGUUAAAAUACGAUUAAUUGGUGUCGGGAACCCUGACGUGUGACACGAUUGAGAAAUCAUUGUCUCCACCUUUCUACUAGCAACUUAAAUCCGUCCACACUCAAUAUUUUCUUGUAGAAAAGCCUUCCUUAUAGACAAACGAGAACUGAUCUACCGAUUAAGUGGGAUACUAUCUCUGUAUCCCCCGCUAAAUCUCACAAAUAUAUUUUUCAAAUAAGAUUGAGCAUCCGAACUACACAGAAGAAUCCUCUCAAAAUGACAUUGCACUGUUAAUAAUACAAAAUGAUACUUCUGAAUUCAAUAAAUUUAAAUUUCUACCAAAUGUCCAAUUAAUCGCUUUGCAAAGUGACAAUAAAGAAACUUUAGAAAGGGCAUCAAUGGUUGGAUGGGGAAGAAUUGGACGAGCUAAGUACACAUUUGAAUUUUCCAUCAUGUUUCAAUGAUGAUAUUUAUAUAUAAAAUUAACAGAAGCAGUAUACAUUAUUUAAGUUGUCAAAAUUUUAAUUUUGUAAAUUUUGUCAUAAAUUGCAUAGUUAGAUUUAUGGAAUUUCAGUGUUUCUAUGUGACAAAAUGUCAUUUUCUUCGAUUUCAUUCACUUCUAUACAGUGGUGAUAUUCAAAAUAUUUAACAAAGGGUUCGCUAACAGAAAAUUUUUCCUUAAUUUUUUUUUGCUCAAAUGGUGCAUCGGAAGGCUCUAGUUUAGUAGCG